rnacentral:tRNA from 1 species
UAUUCUUUUAGUAUAACCAGUACCACUGACUUCCAAUCAGCCAGUCCCAGUCCUAAACCUGGGGAAGAAUAA